rnacentral:rRNA from 1 species
GGGUGAGUAAUAUAUCGGAACGUGCCCAAUCGUGGGGGAUAACGCAGCGAAAGCUGUGCUAAUACCGCAUACGAUCUACGGAUGAAAGCGGGGGACUCGCAAGAGCCUCGCGCGAAUGGAGCGGCCGAUAUCAGAUUAGCUAGUUGGCGGGGUAAAAGCCCACCAAGGCGACGAUCUGUAGCUGGUCUGAGAGGACGACCAGCCACACUGGAACUGAGACACGGUCCAGACUCCUACGGGAGGCAGCAGUGGGGAAUUUUGGACAAUGGGCGCAAGCCUGAUCCAGCAAUGCCGCGUGCAGGAUGAAGGCCUUCGGGUUGUAAACUGCUUUUGUACGGAACGAAACGGUUCUCUUUAAUAAAGGGGGCUAAUGACGGUACCGUAAGAAUAAGCACCGGCUAACUACGUGCCAGCAGCCGCGGUAAUACGUAGGGUGCGAGCGUUAAUCGGAAUUACUGGGCGUAAAGCGUGCGCAGGCGGUGAUGUAAGACAGAUGUGAAAUCCCCGGGCUCAACCUGGGACCUGCAUUUGUGACUGCAUCGCUAGAGUACGGUAGAGGGGGAUGGAAUUCCGCGUGUAGCAGUGAAAUGCGUAGAUAUGCGGAGGAACACCGAUGGCGAAGGCAAUCCCCUGGACCUGUACUGACGCUC